rnacentral:rRNA from 1 species
GAUCAUGGCUCAGGACGAACGCUGGCGGCGCGCCUAACACAUGCAAGUCGAACGAGAGAUGAGGAGCUUGCUCUUCAAAUCGAGUGGCGAACGGGUGAGUAACGCGUGAGGAACCUGCCUCAAAGAGGGGGACAACAGUUGGAAACGACUGCUAAUACCGCAUAAGCCCACAGCUCGGCAUCGAGCAGAGGGAAGAGGAGCGAUCCGCUUUGAGAUGGCCUCGCGUCCG